rnacentral:lncRNA from 1 species
AUGCCCUCUAUUUACAUUAAUAUUAUAUUAGCAUACACCAUAUCACUACUAGGAGUAUUAGUCUAUCAAUCACACCUAAUAUCCCUAUGAUGCCUAAAAGGCAUAAUACUAUCAAUAUUUAUCAUAAAUCCUCUCAUAACUUUAAAUAUACAUUUCGCUCUAGCAUCCAUAAUACCUAUUAUCCUCCUAGUAUUUGCUGUCUGCGAAGCUGCCGUGGGCCUUUCCUUACUAGUUUCAAUCUCCAGUACGUAUGGCCUAGAUUAUGUACAAAAUCUG